GAAAUGAAAUCGAACAUGGACAGUUCAUCUUUGCCCUAAUUUUUCUCUCCAUUUCUGUUCAAUCGACCCCUCGAUCUUCUCUGAUCAGAACUCUGCACCAGAUUUGCUGAUUCAGUCCAGCUCCAGGUUCAGCCUUGAGAGAAAAAUUGCCUCUAUGGAAUCUGAUUCAUCCACACUUUCUCAGGUUGAGACUGUCUUCCAUGAGUUUGGCCAUGCAUUGCAGAACAUGCUAACCAAACAAGAUGAAGGUCUUGUUUCUGGUUCUCAAGGGAUAGAG